rnacentral:rRNA from 1 species
GGAAACGGCAACUAAUACCGUAUACGCCCUAUGGGGGAAAGAUUUAUUGCUAUUAGAUGAGCCUAUAUUAGAUUAGCUAGUUGGUGGGGUAAUGGCUUACCAAGGCAAUGAUCUAUAGCUGAUCUGAGAGGAUGAUCAGCCACACUGGAACUGAGAUACAGUCCAGACUCCUACGGGAGGCAGCAGUGGGGAAUAUUGGACAAUGGGCGAAAGCCUGAUCCAGCCAUGCCGCAUGAGUGAAGAAGGCCUUUGGGUUGUAAAGCUCUUUCAGUGAGGAAGAUAAUGACGGUACUCACAGAAGAAGUCCUGGCUAACUCCGUGCCAGCAGCCGCGGUAAUACGGAGAGGGCUAGCGUUAUUCGGAAUUAUUGGGCGUAAAGGGCGCGUAGGCUGGUUAGUAAGUUAAAAGUGAAAUCCCAAAGCUCAACUUUGGAAUUGCUUUUAAAACUGCUAAUCUAGAGGUUGAAAGAGGAUAGAGGAAUUCCUAGUGUAGAGGUGAUAUUCGUAAAUAUUAGGAGGAACACCAGUGGCGAAGGCGUCUAUCUGGUUCAAAUCUAACGCUGAGGCGCGAAGGCGUGUGGAGCAAACAGGAUUAGAUACCCUGGUAGUCCACGCUGUAAACGAUGAAUGUUAAAUAUGGGAAGUUUACUUUCUGUAUCACAGCUAACGCGUUAAGCAUUCCGCCUGGGGACUACGGUCGCAAGAUUAAAACUCAAAGGAAUUGACGGGGACCCGCACAAGCGGUGGAGCAUGUGGUUUAAUUCGAUGCAACGCGAAAAACCUUACCACUCCUUGACAUGGAAAUUAUACCUAUUCGAAGGAAUAGGGUCGGUUAGGCCGGAUUUCACACAGGUGUUGCAUGGCUGUCGUCAGCUCGUGUCGUGAGAUGUUGGGUUAAGUCCGGCAACGAGCGUAACCCUCAUCCUUAGUUACCAUCAGGUAAUGCUGGGGACUUUAAGGAAACUGCUAGUGAUAAACUGGAGGAAGGUGGGGAUGAUGUCAAGUCAUCAUGGCCCUUAUGGAGUGGGCUACACACGUGCUACAAUGGUGGCUACAAUGGGCUGCAAAGUCGCGAGGCCAAGCCAAUCCCUUAAAAGCCAUCUCAGUUCGGAUUGUACUCUGCAACUCGAGUGCAUGAAGUUGGAAUCGCUAGUAAUCGUGGAUCAGCAUGCCACGGUGAAUACGUUCUCGGGUCUUGUACACACUGCCCGUCACGCCAUGGGAAUUGGUUUCACUCGAAA